GCUGAGGGUGGAAGGGGAGUGAGCAGACACUCGGGAGGUGUCUUGAGAUUAUCAUCCGCUGAGGGUGGAAGGGGAGUGAGCACACACUCGGGAGGUGUCUUGAGAUUAUCAUCCGCUGAGGGUGGAAGGGGAGUGAGCAGACACUCGGGAGGUGUCUUGAGGCUCAGGGAGUUAUCAGUUAUAGAAUGUUGUUGAGUUGGAGGAGGUGGCUGGUGGCCCAUCCUGUUUUUUAAAGUUUCAGCUGUGAGG
rnacentral:lncRNA from 10 species